ACCUGGCUGGCUCAGUUGGUUAAGUGUCUGACUUCAGCUCAGGUCAUGAUCUCAUGGUUUGUGGGUUUGAGCCCCGCGACGGGUU
rnacentral:tRNA from 1 species